rnacentral:rRNA from 1 species
GCAAGUCGAGCGGAAAGGCCCCUUCGGGGGUACUCGAGCGGCGAACGGGUGAGUAACACGUGAGCAACCUGCCCCUGACUCUGGGAUAAGCCCGGGAAACUGGGUCUAAUACCGGAUGUGACCAGCCUCCGCAUGGAGUGCUGGUGGAAAGUUUUUCGGUUGGGGAUGGGCUCGCGGCCUAUCAGCUUGUUGGUGGGGUGAUGGCCUACCAAGGCGACGACGGGUAACCGGCCUGAGAGGGCGACCGGUCACACUGGGACUGAGACACGGCCCAGACUCCUACGGGAGGCAGCAGUGGGGAAUAUUGCGCAAUGGGCGGAAGCCUGACGCAGCGACGCCGCGUGAGGGAUGACGGCCUUCGGGUUGUAAACCUCUUUCAGCAGGGACGAAGCUAACGUGACGGUACCUGCAGAAGAAGCGCCGGCUAACUACGUGCCAGCAGCCGCGGGGUAAUUCA